UACGGAGGGGGCUAGCGUUGUUCGGAAUUACUGGGCGUAAAGCGCGCGUAGGCGGCUUUGCAAGUCGGGUGUGAAAUCCCCAGGCUUAACCUGGGAACUGCAUUCGAGACUGCAUUGCUAGAGUAUGGGAGAGGGAGGUGGAAUUUCCGGUGUAGCGGUGAAAUGCGUAGAUAUCGGAAGGAACAUCAGUGGCGAAAGCGACUUCCUGGACCAAUACUGACGCUCAUGUGCGAAAGCGUGGGGAGCAAACAGG
rnacentral:rRNA from 1 species